rnacentral:tRNA from 1 species
UUAUAAGAAGCAAUUCAUUUGCAUUUAAUUUCGACUUAAAAGAUAGAGAUUACAUUCUCCUUAUUUA